AUCCCAUGUUGUCGACAUCGUUUAAGCAACUCUUUAAAUCUCUCACACGCAUCAAAUAAAGAUUCAUAAUAUCAUUGUCUAAAUGAAGUUACCUCAUUCCUCGUCU